GACGAACGCUGGCGGCGUGCUUAACACAUGCAAGUCGAACGGAAAGGCCUGCUUUCCCUUGUGGAUUGCGGGUGCUCGAGUGGCGAACGGGUGAGUAACACGUGAGUGAUCUGCCCCCAACUUGGGUAUAAGCCCGGGAAACUGGGUCUAAUUCCCGAUAGGACUGCAGGGUGGUGCCUGUGGUGGAAAACGAUUUUCUAGUGGUUGGGGAUGAGCUCGCGGCCUAUCAGCUUGUUGGUGGGGUAAUGGCCUACCAAGGCGGCGACGGGUAGCCGGCCUGAGAGGGUGGACGGCCACAUUGGGACUGAGAUACGGCCCAGAGUCCUACGGGAGGCAGCAGUGGGGAAUAUUGCACAGUGGGCGGAAGCCUGAUGCAGCGACGCCGCGUGGGGGAUGACGGCCUUCGGAUUGUAAACUCCUUUCGACCGCGAGGAAGCCACCUGGUUGGAAGGGUGGUGACGGUAGUGGUAGAAGAAGCACCGGCUAACUACGUG
rnacentral:rRNA from 1 species